GGACUGAAACACCAAAACUUCAAGGGACAGGGAUGAAUUCUGAUCAGCAGAAUGCUGAAUCUGCUAUUCUUUUCUCUUCUUUUUUUUUUUUUUUUUUUUUUUUUUUCUUGGGGAGAUGGGAGUACCAGGGUGGGUGGAACAUCAUCUCUCUUGACCAUGUAUUCUCUUAUAAGAGUGGAAUAGUGCAGGUAUAAAAGUACAACUAAAAUUUGACUUUUACUGUAAUCAGAAAUUGUGCUUAUCCGGUGAUUGUCAGGAUGGGGUUUGAAAUUCAAGUGAAUAUAAGAAAGUAAGUUGUUACUUUCAUCCAAAAGUGAGAUAACAGUGUGAUCUGUGGCUUUCAUCUGCAGAUUCCCUGCCUCACCAUCCCUGGAAUCAUGGGUCUUUAAUAUUCCGAUCUGCCACCUGAGCUGGGGGGAGAAGAAGGACAUCAGUAAUGGACCCAUCCAUCCCAUCUCACUCAUGGUCCCAGCCCUUGAGAACAAAAAGAUUUAUUUCCUCACAUUGUUCUGAUUCUGUCUCAUUGAAGUGGGUUGUUUCUGAUUUGUGCUGGGAUAAUAAAAGAGAAUAGGAUUUUUGCAGAGGAACACAGAGAUGCUACAGAUUCUUGCUGUGCUUGGAGAGAAGUUUAAAAUGUUCUAUAUCUAUUCUUGUAGGAUAAAGUGGGCCAGGAAUGCUGCUUCCUAUUUGGUCACCAACAUAAUCUCAUUGCUAAGUUUCUGACCAAUUUCUUUUUUCAGACACCAGAUUUAUGGUAUAAAACAUGAGGUUCCAGUGGGGAAAAUCUGUAGGAAAAGCCAGCGAGAAGUGCUCAAAAUGAAAUUGAAGCAAGAGCUUUAUUGUGCAAGCGACAAACCUGUCCUUCAAGGGCUUCAAUUUACUACUUUUCUUGCUAAUGAGUGGGGCUAAUAAUCCAACUCAUUAAUCACCUUAAACCCCAAAGAGUCUCUUCAGUGGGGAUGCAGGGUUGGCGGGGGCAUGAUCAUGUCUGAGAUCUCUGUGAAGCAAUUAAAACUUCAUGGUCAUAUUCACUUCUACAGUUGCUCAGUAGCAAAGUCUUAAACUGCUGUCUUAAUUUUUAUUUAAAAGUGGUUCUGACCUGAAAGAAAAACAAUAUUAAUGUGAAAACCUUGUAUAAAAAAAAAAAAAAGAGCAUUUAAAACCAGAUUAUCAAAGGUACCACAAUCGUCUCCUGAACUGCAACCUGCAACACUCAAACAACUGCAGAGCUCUUGCAUAUGGAUUCUAUACUGGUUCUGAAUAUAUAUUUUUAUUAAAAUGUUCACUUAAAAAGGUGAGAAUUGGGGCUACUCCUGAAGAAGAGCACAAUUCUUCUGAUAUGACAGGGUAACACUAGUAAUUUGGAAAAAGGACUUGCAAAGAAUUUCCAGAGCAGUGAAUCCUGUUCAAGGAUCUGUGGUUAAUAGUCUUUUAAGAUGCACCCAAUUCUCAGUUGCAUGGUACACUUGUCAAAUUUAUUAAAAUGACACAUCUAUUUGUAACCCUCUGAUAAGAACCUGAUUAAAUUUUUU